rnacentral:snRNA from 1 species
AUACUCACCUGGCAGGGGACAUACCAUGAUCAAGAAGGUGGUUCACCCAGGGUGUGGCUUUACAAUUACAUUCUGGCUGUGCUGACGCUUCCGAGGGUCUGGGGCUGUACAAGGUGC